rnacentral:rRNA from 1 species
UACGUAGGGUCCGAGCGUUGUCCGGAAUUAUUGGGCGUAAAGGGCUCGUAGGCGGUCUGUUGCGUCAGGAGUGAAAACUCGGGGCUUAACCCCGAGCCUGCUUCUGAUACGGGCAGACUAGAGGUAUGCAGGGGAGAACGGAAUUCCUGGUGUAGCGGUGAAAUGCGCAGAUAUCAGGAGGAACACCGGUGGCGAAGGCGGUUCUCUGGGCAUUACCUGACGCUGAGACGCGAAAGCGUGGGGAGCAAACAGG